rnacentral:rRNA from 1 species
CACGUCAAUAAUCUGACCUCGAGUAAGGGAUAGCCUUGGGAAACUGAGGGUAAACCCUUAUAGGAGAUGAUGUCUGGAAUGACUUAUCUUUUAAAAGCAAUGCUCGAGGAUGAGUUGGCGGCCGAUUAGGUAGUUGGUGGGGUAACGGCUCACCAAGCCUAUGAUCGGUACGGGCCAUGAGAGUGGGAGCCCGGAGAAGGAUUCUGAGACACUAAUCCUAGCCCUACGGGGUGCAGCAGGCGAGAAAACUUUACACUACGCGAAAGCGUGAUAAGGGUAUUCCCAGUGCCAAUGCUUAGCAUUGGCUUUUGCAAAGGGUAAAAUCCUUGGCGAAUAAGUGGUGGGUAAGCGGGUGCCAGCCGCCGCGGUAAUACCUGCGCCACAAGUGGCAAUCACGGUUAUUGGGCCUAAAGCGUCCGUAGUUGGCUUUGUAAGUCUUUUGUUAAACUAUAACGCACAACGUUAUAUUCGCAAAAGAUACUGCGAAGCUAGGGACCAGAGAGAGGUUAGGGGUAUUCAUAGGGGAGCGGUAAAAUGCGAUAAUCCUAUGAAGACCACCUGUGGCGAAGGCGCCUAACCAGAAUGGCUCCGACAAUGAGGGACGAAAGCUAGGGUAGCGAAACGGAUUAGAUACCCGUGUAGUCCUGGCUGUAAACGCUGUGAGCUAGGUGUUGCAUUUCCAAAAGGAUUUGCAGUGUCGUAGUGAAGACGUUAAGCUCACCGCCUGGGGAGUACGGUCGCAAGACUGAAACUUAAAGGAAUUGACGGGGGCGCACCACAACGGGUGCGGCGUGCGGUUCAAUCGGAUUCUACACCGAGAAUCUCACCAGGGGCGACGGCAGGAUGAUUGUCAGGUUAAAGGCCUUACAGGACGAGCCGAGAGCUAGUGCAUGGCCGUCGCCAGCUCGUGCCGUGAGGUGUCCAGUUAAGUCUGGUAACGAGCGAGACCUACAUCUGAAUUUGCUAACGCCUAAACUUUAGGAGCGAGCACAAUACAGAGACUGCCCGGGAAACUGGGAGGAAGGUGUAGGCAACGACAGGUCAGUAUGCUGCGAAUCUCCUGGGCUACACGCGCGCAACAAUGGUAAGGACAAUGGGCUGCAACUUCGAGAGAAGAAGCUAAUCCUCUAAACCUUAUCCAAGUCCAGAUUGAGGGUCGUAACUCACCCUCAUGACGAUGGAAUCCGUAGUAAUUGGAUUUUAGCAGAGUCCAGUGAAUAUGUCCCUGCGCCUUGCACACACUGCCCGUCAAGUCAUCCGAACAGGAUUUAGAUGAGGCGUUAGUCAUUCGGACUAGCGACGAAUCUAGGUUUUGUGAGGCGGACUAAGUCGACACAAGGUA